rnacentral:rRNA from 1 species
GUGGGGAAUAUUGGACAAUGGGCGAAAGCCUGAUCCAGCCAUGCCGCGUGUGUGAAGAAGGUCUUCGGAUUGUAAAGCACUUUAAGUUGGGAGGAAGGGCAGUAAGUUAAUACCUUGCUGUUUUGACGUUACCGACAGAAUAAGCACCGGCUAACUUCGUGCCAGCAGCCGCGGUAAUACGAAGGGUGCAAGCGUUAAUCGGAAUUACUGGGCGUAAAGCGCGCGUAGGUGGUUUUGUAAGUUGGAGGUGAAAUCCCCGGGCUCAACCUGGGAACUGCCUCCAAAACUGCAUGACUAGAGUACGGUAGAGGGUAGUGGAAUUUCCUGUGUAGUGGUGAAAUGCGUAGAUAUAGGAAGGAACACCAGUGGCGAAGGCGACUACCUGGACUGAUACUGACACUGAGGUGCGAAAGCGUGGGGAGCAAACAGGAUUAGAAACCCCAGUAGUCC